rnacentral:rRNA from 1 species
CACGUAGGCGGCCUGGUAAGUCAGAUGUGAAAGCCCGGGGCUUAUCCCCGGAAGUGCAUUUGAUACUGCCAGGCUUGAGUAUGGGAGAGGGAAGUGGAAUUCCUGGUGUAGAGGUGAAAUUCGUAGAUAUCAGGAGGAACACCGGUGGCGAAGGCGACUUCCUGGACCAAUACUGACGCUGAGGUGCGAAGGCGUGGGUAGCAAACAGGAUUAGAUACCCUGGUAGUCC